UACGUAGGGUGCAAGCGUUAAUCGGAAUUACUGGGCGUAAAGCGUGCGCAGGCGGCUAUGCAAGACAGAUGUGAAAUCCCCGGGCUCAACCUGGGAACUGCAUUUGUGACUGCAUAGCUAGAGUACGGUAGAGGGGGAUGGAAUUCCGCGUGUAGCAGUGAAAUGCGUAGAUAUGCGGAGGAACACCGAUGGCGAAGGCAAUCCCCUGGACCUGUACUGACGCUCAUGCACGAAAGGCAUGGGGAGCAAACAAGG
rnacentral:rRNA from 1 species